UAACACGUGGGUAACCUGCCUCAUAGAGUGGAAUAGCCUUCCGAAAGGAAGAUUAAUACCGCAUAAUGUUGAAAGAUGGCAUCAUCAUUCAACCAAAGGAGCAAUCCGCUAUGAGAUGGACCCGCGGCGCAUUAGCUAGUUGGUGGGGUAACGGCCUACCAAGGCGACGAUGCGUAGCCGACCUGAGAGGGUGAUCGGCCACAUUGGGACUGAGACACGGCCCAA
rnacentral:rRNA from 1 species